CGAGAGCACGGUAAAUGGCGCUGUCGGUACUCAGUCACAUCCAGCUCCCCGGCGUGCCCGGCGAGCUCACCUGCUGACCCGUCUAAGAAACGCCGCUCUGGUUCUGAUCUCGCCAUGAAUUCCACCCUAUUGCCAGAAAUGGGCUGGUUUCCCUUUGUUGUGCAAAAUGACUGUGUCCUUGAGGAAUGUUUGGAGGGUCUUGGCAACCAGGAAUCAUCCAGAAGCAUAUCUGGUGUCAGCUCAGUUGUGUUGUCAACAUUUCAUUUGGAGUUACCUGACCUUCAGAAGAACUUCAUCCAAUAGCAGACGUGUAUAAACCUCAAGGGUCCUGUGUGAAAAGCUCCAGAUUGGGAACCAGAGGAGUUAUAUGCUUGCCUUCAUCCUUCCCAGGGGUGAUAUUGAAGUUACUUUACAACAGAUGUGGCACAGGUGUGGCAAAGAUUCCAGCCCUGCAGAACAGAAGCUGCUCAAUGCUGGGGCAGGAGCCUGGAUAUUCCCUACCCGAUGGACCAGAAGAUAUUAUCCUUGAUACUCUGAGUGGGACCCCAUCUGAUCACUUGAAGGCUUUUAAGAGCAAAAACUGAGGCUUUCCUCAAGAAGAAAUCUUGCCUCAAGACUGUAGCAUCAAUUUCUACCUGAAUAUCUAGCCUGCCAGUCUGCCCUAUGGAUUUCAAACUUGCCAGCCCCCAUACUGCAUGAGCCAAUUUUUUAAAACAAACUUUAUAUAUAUAUAUAAAGACAGAUAAAGCAUAUGUGGCAAAUGUUAACUGAUAAAUCUAAGUAAAGAGUAUACAGGUGUUCAUUGUAGUAUUGUUUUCUCAAAGCUUGAAAUUCUUAUAAAAAAUUGGGAAAAGUUAAAAAUGUAUUCUAAUGAAAUUUUUUGGAAAGGUAAUACAGAUCAAUCAGCAGAGACACAUAGCCUAAUAAGAAUACUAGAAUUUAAACAUAAAGAAAAACUCCUAUAGAUAUUGCCUUACAAAAUUAAGAAGAAUAAAUCAGUUUGGCAUCAGAAUUCUCCAUUCUGGCACUAAAAAACAGUAGAUCAAUAUCUAAAAAACCCUUGCGGAAGAGAAAAUAUGGCCCCAAAUUUUAGAACCAUUGAAGUAAAAACUCGUGGAAUUUAGUUCUGAGAGCUCUUCAGCCAACUAAAAGUUGAAUGAAGAAGCUGUUGAGGUAAACAGGGUAGUGGUGAGCAAUAAGUUUAUUUACAUUGUUAAGUUAAUCAGUCCAUUAGUUAUUCACUGAGUACCUAUUAUGCACUAGCUCUGGUGAUCAGCUGUAACCCAGAGGGACAUGGU